GACGAACCGUGCAAACGUUAUUCGGAAUCACUGGGCAUAAAGGGCGCGUAGGCGGCUCCAAAAGUCAGGGGUGAAAUCCGGCAGCUUAACUGUCGCAGUGCCUUUGAUACUGUGGAGCUAGAGGGAGGUAGGGGUCUGUGGAACUUCCGGUGGAGCGGUGAAAUGCGUUGAUAUCGGAAGGAACGCCGGUGGCGAAAGCGACGGACUGGAUCUCUUCUGACGCUGAGACGCGAAAGCCAGGGGAGCAAACGGG
rnacentral:rRNA from 1 species